rnacentral:tRNA from 1 species
GUGCCCGUAGCUCAAUUGGACAGAGCGUCAGACUGCGGAUCUGAAGGUUGUGGGUUCAAAUCCCGCCGGGCACGCCA